rnacentral:rRNA from 1 species
UACGUAGGGGUGCGAGCGUUGUCCGGAAUUAUUGGGCGUAAAGAGCUCGUAGGCGGUUUGUCGCGUCUGCUGUGAAAACCCGAGGCUCAACCUCGGGCCUGCAGUGGGUACGGGCAGACUAGAGUGCGGUAGGGGAGAUUGGAAUUCCUGGUGUAGCGGUGGAAUGCGCAGAUAUCAGGAGGAACACCAAUGGCGAAGGCAGAUCUCUGGGCCGUAACUGACGCUGAGGAGCGAAAGCAUGGGGAGCGAACAGG